GAGAAAAACAGUUCGGCAGCUGUCUUGAUGAAACUCACUCCACCACUGCCUGAGAGUUUCACUGUGGAUCUUUAUUUCUCAUAUCCAUUGUGACUUUAUAAGCAUGAUGGCUGAACCUUCUUUCAUCACAGGCUCUCUGCGUCCAGACGGAGCUGUAAAGUAUCAUUCUGACGUGUUAGAGAGGAUCAGCCAUGAGAAACAAACGGAGUGUAGAACACAUACAGAAAACUGCUGGAGCUUCAGAAACCACAGACAAGCAAAAACCAACAGGACAGAGAGAGAAACAGAGGCCAGAAAUGAGACACAAACUACUGGAUCACAAGAGAAAAGCAGACAGACACAUACAAGAUGGAACAGUAUGGGGAAAACAAAGCCAGACUGUAAGUGUUUGUUCAUUAUGAAACAACUAGACUUGCUAGAUGUACUAUUAUCAUCUCAACACUCCCGUUAUAAAGUGGCUCAUUCAGUCAGAUUCAAGACUUUCUGCAAUCAUCUAGAUGUUUUAUUGAUUGAGAACAUAAAAACCCCACAAAUCCAAAACACUGAGGAUAAUCAGAUAUAUAUUUGUGAUUUCUAUUAUCAAGUGAAGACCUGAACAACAUCAGAGUCCAGAUACCUGCGGCUGAAGACCACAACAUCAUCAUCAUCAUCAUCACAGACUCCAUCCAUCCAUGGACUCUUUUACAGACUCGAUCUCAAACUAACAGAAAUCUGAGUCGUUUCUUUCCCAGAUAACUGAUAACUGUUUUAUUGCUUUGAUGCUGCACUUUACUCUCACCAUUUUUACACCAUGAUCCACCUCUGCAUUUGUGUCACAAAGAGACUGUGUUUCGUUUUGCGCUACCUCAUAUGUCUCAUGUACAUAAGAUCCACAUCUUUGUAUUUGUAUCACAAAGAGACUGUGAGAGAAUUACAAAGAGAAUUACAAAAUAAUUGUAAUCAGUUUUAGUUACUGAGAAAAAAAUGUGUAAUUCAAUUACAGUUACUUAUGAAAAUGUUAAAGAUUACAAAGGGGGUUACUUUUGAAUAUUUUUAACACACACACCCACAUACAGAUUUAACUGAUUUCUUUCAUAAAUUGCAUUGACUGAUCUAAAAUAUGAGACACCGAUGUUUCAGGAGUUUAGGACACAG
rnacentral:lncRNA from 1 species